rnacentral:rRNA from 1 species
CGAACGAGAAGUCCCGUUCUCAAUUCUUCGGAAGAGAAAGCGGGAUGGAAAGUGGCGGAAGGGUGAGGAACACGUGGGUAAUCUACCCCCAAGUUGGGGAUAGCCACUGGAAACGGUGGAUAAUACCGAAUGUGGUAGGGCCGCGUAGGCGGCCUGGUCUAAAGGCGGGGCUCCUUCGGGACCUGUCGCUUGGGGACGAGCCCGCGUCCUAUCAGCUUGUUGGUGGGGUAACGGCUCACCAAGGCGAAGACGGGUAGCUGGUCUGAGAGGAUGGUCAGCCACACUGGGACUGAGACACUGCCCAGACUCCUACGGGAGGCUGCAGUCGAGAAUCAUUCGCAAUGCACGAAAGUGCGACGAUGCGACGCCGCGUGCAGGAUGACGGCCUUCGGGUUGUAAACUGCUGUCAUGGGGGAAAAACGGCCGGGGCGUGAAUACCGCCUCGGUGUGAUGGUACCCCAAGAGGAAGCCACGGCUAACUCUGUGCCAGCAGCCGCGGUAAUACAGAGGUGGCGAGCGUUGUUCGGAUUUACUGGGCGUAAAGGGUGCGUAGGCGGCUUCGUGUGUCGGGUGUGAAAGCCCACGGCUCAACCGUGGAACGGCAUCCGAAACUGCGGAGCUCGAGUACUGGAGAGGAGAGCGGAAUUCUCGGU